GAGUGUCCCACAGCCUCAGUGCCUGACCCGUGCUCGUCCUGGCUGUAAGAGUACAGUAGGAGGCAGUGAUAGGAAGCAGAAUCGGAGCGUGAGGGAAAACGCAGGAGCCUUCUGGGGACAUAAGCGCUUAGAAGAAAAAGUGCUGAUGCGUUUCCUGCUCUUCACCUCUUCUCCCUAGGCCCACACCUCCAGAAGUGUUUCCACCUGCAUUAGGCCAGCGCGAUGUUCGCUCAUGAACUAAAGCUAUGGAAAUAAAACCAGUGAGCCAAAGGCAGAUACAGAUGAACACUUGUGGAGUUGUCCCUCUUCUGGCUGUGAAAAAUAGAUAUUUAUUUUUGGCUGCUAGCUCUAUUUACUCAGUCUAGCAAACUGCAGAGAAGCUCCAAAUGCAGAACUUAUAGGGAGUGGAGUGUUUUUUUGGCUUCUUCUUGCCAA
rnacentral:lncRNA from 1 species